AAUGAACACCUGUCUUUCACAGCAUUACAAGAAAUAGUUGGGUACCUCAGAUGCUUUGUUGUGUCAAGUCCUCUAAUAGGGACACUACCCUCCCUCCUGCAGUAUCUCAAGGCUUUGCAGUCAUCAGUGGAUUUACCUUGCCUGCAUUCCUGUGGAGGUCCUGACAAAAUCUGGGAAUGGAAAGAGUCUGACAUGAAUGUGCAGGAGGUGAGAGGACAAAAAAGG